AUUGAACGCUGGCGGCAUGCCUUACACAUGCAAGUCGAACGGCAGCACGGGGGCAACCCUGGUGGCGAGUGGCGAACGGGUGAGUAAUGCAUCGGAACGUGCCCAGUAGUGGGGGAUAACCCGGCGAAAGCCGGGCUAAUACCGCAUACGACCUACGGGUGAAAGCGGGGGACCGUAAGGCCUCGCGCUAUUGGAGCGGCCGAUGUCUGAUUAGCUAGUUGGCGGGGUAAAGGCCCACCAAGGCGACGAUCAGUAGCUGGUCUGAGAGGACGACCAGCCGCACUGGGACUGAGAAACGGCCCAGACUCCUACGGGAGGAAGCAGUGGGGAAUUUUGGACAAUGGGCGCAAGCCUGAUCCAGCCAUGCCGCGUGCGGGAAGAAGGCCUUCGGGUUGUAAACCGCUUUUGGCAGGAACGAAACGGCGCAAGCUAAUACCUUGCGCUAAUGACGGUACCUGCAGAAUAAGCACCGGCUAACUACGUGCCAGCCGCCGCAGUAACAC
rnacentral:rRNA from 1 species